GCUCGCGUGGCGUAACGGCAACGCGUCUGACUUCUAAUCAGAAGAUUAUGGGUUCGACCCCCAUCGUGAGUG
rnacentral:tRNA from 1 species